rnacentral:misc_RNA from 1 species
UGUGGGAGGGGGCUUGCUCCCGAUAGCGGUGUACCAGUCGCCAUUGGUUUUGACUGGUAGAUCGCUAUCGGGAGCAAGCCCCCUCCCACA